rnacentral:rRNA from 1 species
GACGAACGCUGGCGGCGUGCUUAACACAUGCAAGUCGAACGGAAAGGCCCUGCUUUUGUGGGGUGCUCGAGUGGCGAACGGGUGAGUAAAACGUGAGUAACCUGCCCUUGACUUUGGGAUAACUUCAGGAAACUGGGGAUAAUACCGCAUAGGAUCUCCUGCUCCACGGUGUGGGUUGGAAAGUUUCGGCUGUUGGGGAUGGACUAGAGGGUUAUCAGCUUGUCGGUGGGGUAGUGGCUUACAAAGCUUUUGACGGGUAGCCGGCAUGGGAGGGUGACCGGCGACAUUGGGACUGAGGGAGGGCGCAGAAGCGUACGGGAGGCAGCAGUGGGGAAUAUUGCAGAAUAGGGGGAAGUGUGAGGCGGCGGCGCCGCGAGCGGGAUGACGGGUUUCGGGGUGUAAACCGCUUUCGCAGGUGACGAGGCGGGAGUGACGGUAAUGGGUAAGGAAGCACCGGCUAACUACGUG